ACAUUUCUUUUAGUUUUUGUUAAAGGUAAUUUCUGCCCAAUGAUUAAAUUUAAAUGGCUGCAGUAUUUUGACUGUACAAAGGUAGCAUAAUAACUAGUCUUUUAAUUGGGGACUUGAAUGAAGGAAAAAAUGAGAUAUUAAUUUUAUUUAAAAUAUUAUUAGAAUUUAAUUUUUAAGUUAAAAAGCUUAAUUUUUUUAUAGGGACGAUAAGACCCUAUAGAACUUUACUAAAUAUGUGUAUAUUUUAGUUUAGUUAAAGUUAAUUAGUUUAAUUGGGGUGAUUAAUAAAUUUAUUUUACUUUAUUUUUUUUAUUCAUUUAUAUAUGUUUUUAUGUUCCAUAAUUUUUGAUUGAAAGUUAAAGUUACCUUAGGGAUAACAGCGUAAUUUUAAUGGGGAGUUCAUAUCUAUAUUAAAGUUUGCGACCUCGAUGUUGAAUUAAGAUAAAAUUAAGGGGUAGAUUCUUUAUAUUUAAGUCUGUUCGACUUUUAAAUUCUUACGUGAUCUG
rnacentral:rRNA from 1 species